rnacentral:rRNA from 1 species
GACGUACGCUGGCGGCGCGCCUAACACAUGCAAGUCGAACGGAGCUGAGAGAAGCUUGCUUUUCUUAGCUUAGUGGCGAACGGGUGAGUAACGCGUGAGUAACCUGCCCUGGAGUGGGGGACAACAGUUGGAAACGACUGCUAAUACCGCAUAAGCCCACGAUCCGGCAUCGGAUUGAGGGAAAAGGAUUUAUUCGCUUCAGGAUGGACUCGCGUCCAAUUAGCUAGUUGGUGAGGUAACGGCCCACCAAGGCGACGAUUGGUAGCCGGACUGAGAGGUUGAACGGCCACAUUGGGACUGAGACACGGCCCAGACUCCUACGGGAGGCAGCAGUGGGGGAUAUUGCACAAUGGGGGAAACCCUGAUGCAGCGACGCCGCGUGGAGGAAGAAGGUUUUCGGAUUGUAAACUCCUGUCGUUAGGGACGAUAAUGACGGUACCUAACAAGAAAGCACCGGCUAACUACGUG